GCGAAUCUCCAAAAAUUAGUCCCAGUUCAGAUUGCAGGCUGCAACUCGCCUGCAUGAAGUCGGAAUUGCUAGUAAUCGUGGAUCAGCAUGCCACGGUGAAUACGUUCCCGGGCCUUGUACACACCGCCCGUCACACCAUGGGAGUCGGUAACACCCGAAGCCUGUAGUCUAACCGCAAGGAGGACGCAGUCGAAGGUGGGAUUGAUGACUGGGGUGAAGUCGUAACAAGGUAUC
rnacentral:rRNA from 1 species